GGAGCUUCUCCAUUGGAGGCCAUUCAACUGCAAAUUGUGGUAAUGAACAUGCUCAUUGGCGCAUCAACUGUUAGCAGUAUCAUGUCUACGUACCUUUGUUGGCCUGCAUUCUUCACACCUGCUUAUCAAUUAGAAACUAAGGUCUUCAGCUCUGAUUGAGAUUUGGCGUAGGUCUGUUGUCCCAAAAUAGUCUAAGAGGGGGGUGAAUUGGACUUAAAUAAUUUUUCGGC
rnacentral:misc_RNA from 1 species